CUCCCCGAGGAGAAGGCGCACAGGGCCAGGGAGGCUGCUGCUGGCUCCCGCGGAGUGGCUGAGAAGCCAAGGGAGGGCCCCCCCCGGGGCCUCCGUGCCCAGGAGGACCUGCCCUCCAUCCCCAGCAGGAGCCCAGAGCCUUUCUAUCUCUCUUGAGGGACUUUAGCAUUGGCUUUGCUUUUCCAGGAGGCAUGGCUAAGAAGCGGCAGGCAUUUCUACUUCUGAGGGCUUUGGGCUUUUUUCUUCUUGGCUUUUCCAGGAGGGAUCCCAAAGAGUCCUCCCUCCUGAGCAUGCAUUGAGGUCUCUAGGAGCCUUUUGAGCUAUUGCUGUUACUGCUCUUCUUCUUCUUCUUCUUUGGGUCCUGCUCUCCACUUGGCUGGAGGCGUCCUCCGUUGUCCUCUUUGGUGGUUAGGGAGCCUGGCCAACCCCCCUGAGCCUGCCUCCUCUUCCUCCUCCUCCUGGCUCCGGGGGCUCCUCCUCCUCCUCCGGGUCCCACCUCUCCUUGCCUUGAAGCCUAGGAGCCGGGCGCCUCAGACCCACAGAAAGAGAGAGAGAGAGAGAGGCGCAAAGCGCAAAGCCCCAACGAGCCAGGCGCCCUCCUUGCAAAGCCCUCCUUUGGCUCCGCUUCCUCCGCUGCUGCCUGGAAGGGACGGACGGACAGGAGGAGGGCCAUGUGAAGGGGAACAAAGGGAGAAUUCAGGGUUGACUUGCUCUAGGACCCCUUUAUUGGUCCUUUUGGCUGUCCAUGUCCAUGGGAUCCAUAGAACUCUCUUCCAGCACCACAUUUCAGAUUGCUUCACUUACUUUCCCC